rnacentral:misc_RNA from 1 species
CUACCAUCAAGCCCCCGGCUUGUGUUGGGGCCCUGCGGCCGUCCGCAGCCCCCGAAAUGCAGUGGCGGGCUCGCGACCGCACCGAGCGCAGUAGGUGACUCUCGCUCCGGGAGCGGCGGCGGGCGCCGGCCGUGAAACCACCCAAUCGUAACC